UACGAAGGGGACUAGCGUUGUUCGGAAUCACUGGGCGUAAAGCGCACGUAGGCGGAUAUGUCAGUCAGGGGUGAAAUCCCGGGGCUCAACCUCGGAACUGCCUUUGAUACAGCAUGUCUUGAGUCCGAUAGAGGUGGGUGGAAUUCCUAGUGUAGAGGUGAAAUUCGUAGAUAUUCGCAAGAACACCAGUGGCGAAGGCGGCUCACUGGCCCGGUACUGACGCUGAGGUGCGAAAGCGUGGGGAGCAAACAGG
rnacentral:rRNA from 1 species